rnacentral:tRNA from 1 species
GGGCGUGUGGCUCAGUUGGUAGAGCGUUCGCUUAGCAUACUUCUCUGUAUGCGAAAGGUCCUGGGUUCGAUUCCCAGCUCGUCCA